rnacentral:sRNA from 1 species
GAAGCGAUGUGUUAGCUGAAGUUUAAUAAACUAAUUGGUGGUCCUGGGAUGCAGUUGGGAAGAUGGGAUGAUUCAGCCUGCUGGGAUGUUCCUCCUGCUGAUCAAGAGAAGCUUUUUAUCCAGAAGUUACGUCAGUGUUGCGUCCUCUUUGACUUUGUUUCUGAUCCACUAAGUGACCUAAAGUGGAAGGAAGUAAAACGAGCUGCUUUAAGUGAAAUGGUAGAGUAUAUCACCCAUAAUCGGAAUGUGAUCACAGAGCCUAUUUACCCAGAAGUAGUCCAUAUG